rnacentral:rRNA from 1 species
UACGAAGGGGGCUAGCGUUGCUCGGAAUUACUGGGCGUAAAGCGCACGUAGGCGGAUCUUUAAGUCAGGGGUGAAAUCCUGGAGCUCAACUCCAGAACUGCCUUUGAUACUGAGGACCUUGAGUUCGGGAGAGGUGAGUGGAACUGCGAGUGUAGAGGUGAAAUUCGUAGAUAUUCGCAAGAACACCAGUGGCGAAGGCGGCUCACUGGCCCGAUACUGACGCUGAGGUGCGAAAGCGUGGG